rnacentral:misc_RNA from 1 species
GAUGAAGACGCAGCGAAAUGCGAUAAGUAAUGUGAAUUGCAGAAUUCAGUGAAUCAUCGAAUCUUUGAACGCAUCUUGCGCUCCUUGGUAUUCCUUGGAGCAUGCCUGUUUGAGUAUCAUGAGCAAAUCUCAAAGUCAAUUCCUUUUGUUGAUUCAAUUGGUUUUGCUUUGGACUUGGAGGCCUUGCAGAUUUCACAGUCUGCUCCUCUUAAAUGCAUUAGCUGGAUCUCAGUAAUUAUGCUUGGUUCCACUCGGCGUGAUAAGUAUCACUCGCUGAGGACACUGUUAAAAAGGUGGCCAGGAAAAUACUGAUUGAACCGCUUCUAACGGUCUAUUAAGUUAGACAAUUACCCUUAAGUUUGAUCUCAAAUCAGGUAGGACUACCCGCUGAACUUAAGCAUAUCAAUAAGCGGAGGA